rnacentral:rRNA from 1 species
GUCCACGCCCUAAACGAUGCGAACUGGACGUUGGGAGCAAUCAGGCUCUCAGUGUCGAAGCUAACGCGUUAAGUUCGCCGCCUGGGGAGUACGGUCGCAAGACUGAAACUCAAAGGAAUUGACGGGGGCCCGCACAAGCGGUGGAGUAUGUGGUUUAAUUCGAUGCAACGCGCAGAACCUUACCUGGCCUUGACAUCCACGGAAUCUUUGAGAGAUCGAAGAGUGCCUUCGGGAACCGUGAGACAGGUGCUGCAUGGCUGUCGU